rnacentral:rRNA from 1 species
AUUGAACGCUGGCGGCAUGCUUUACACAUGCAAGUCGAACGGUAACAGGCCGCAAGGUGCUGACGAGUGGCGAACGGGUGAGUAAUGCAUCGGAACGUGCCCAGUCGUGGGGGAUAACUACUCGAAAGAGUAGCUAAUACCGCAUACGAUCUAUGGAUGAAAGCGGGGGACCGUAAGGCCUCGCGCGAUUGGAGCGGCCUAUGUCAGAUUAGGUAGUUGGUGGGGUAAAGGCUCACCAAGCCAACGAUCUGUAGCUGGUCUGAGAGGACGACCAGCCACACUGGGACUGAGACGCGGCCCAGACUCCUACGGGAGGCAGCAGUGGGGAAUUUUGGACAAUGGGCGCAAGCCUGAUCCAGCAAUGCCGCGUGCAGGAAGAAGGCCUUCGGGUUGUAAACUGCUUUUGUACGGGACGAAACGGCUCUGGUUAAUACCCGGGGCUAAUGACGGUACCGUAAGAAUAAGCUCCGGCUAACUCCGUG